AGAGAAUAGGCCCAAGCGACUGUUUACCAAAAACAUAGGUUUCUGCUAAGUCGCAAGACGAUGUAUAGGAGCUGACGCCUGCCCGGGGCUGGAAGGUUAAGGGGAUCUGUUAGAGCAAUCGAAGCAGUGAACUUAAGCCCCAGUAAACGGCGGCCGUAACUAUAACGGUCCUAAGGUAGCGAAAUUCCUUGUCGGGGAAGUUCCGACCCGCACGAAAGGCGUAACGAUUUGGGCACUGUCUCAACAACAGACUCGG
rnacentral:rRNA from 1 species